UUCUUUCUUUUUUUUUUUUUUUUUAAAUCAGGAAUCAUGUCUGAAAGCUGCCACAACCAGUUGUAUAGGCAUGUCAAAAUGACUUUAUACAGUCAAUAUGAAACAAGCAUUAAAUAUUUUUUCUCAUGUUGUUGCUUUUAUCAUUAUGAAUUCCUUGCUUGUUGCCACCUAAGAUACGAUGGAGCAAGCACAGUCUUAAAGAAGAUUUGCUGAUUUUUUGUUUUUCUCAGCAGACCAGAGUAGGACAUCCAUAAAAAUUCAUCAGAGAGCAUUUUACUACUGAGCUGCAAAGGGAAAAACUUAAAAUGGAUAUGAAAAGUGAAGAAAGUGAUCAUAGGAGAAAACCAUUUCAGAUGACAAGAGCACCUCAAAGGCAGCAGCCUCAAGGAGCAGCCAUGGCCCCAGACUUGUCGCACGGAUGCAGAAAACUUAAUGGAGGAGGCUGAGGUCAGAAUGGGAAGAGUUUUUAAAAAAUAAAAAGGGGAGCUAAUAUGUGAGGAACUGAUUGCUGUGCAUUAUUUUCCACUGAACAGACCUUCUUUUAACUUCUAAUCUCAAGCACAUAGCAGCUGUUGUUUUCAUAUUAAAGAUCAGUAAGUGUUUGUUGAAUGAAUGUAUAAAUUCUUCCCCAAUCUCUGUUCCAUGUAAUAAGAACUAAGUUAGCAUUCAAUUAUAAAGAGGACUUAGAAAGUCUGCAGACAUUUUUGAUCAAAAAUCCUUUUAACUGUCUUCUUAUGGUUCCCGGUAACACCUAAGCCCAAAAAACUCAGGUCAUUUCUUGCCUGUACUGUUGCAAUAGCCUCAUAAUAACUAGUCUUCUCCUUUAUCAACCACAGUCGUCUCCGCUACACAAAGAAGAGAGGGUGCUAAUCUAAAGUGUAAAUUAUUUUAAAUCAGCACCCUUCUUGUAAUUUCCCAGUGGUUUUUCCUGUCAUAAGAAUAACAUGCAAAAUUCCUUGCUUGCAAAGCCAGGUAUGACCUUGCCCCGUCUACCUUACUGGCAUCGUCUCUCAUGACUCUUCCCCUUUUUCACUCUCCAUCUUGCCUUUUCCCAACCAUGCCUGCUAGUGAGCCUUAGCCCUUGUGUUUUCUCUGCCAGGGAUGCAUGACUGGCUUCUUUACUUUAUUCUGAUCUCUCUGCUCAAAUGUCAUCUUUUUAGAGAUAGCUUUCCUAAACAUCUUUAAAAGUACCCCAUGAACUGUGAAACACCUUUCCUGCUUUUUCUUCAUAGUACUUAUCACUUCCUGAUAUUAUGUUAGACAACAAGCAAAUAAGUAUAUGCUGUUCCCACUAAAAUAUAAGCUCCAUUUGAACAGGAGCCUUGAUUAUUCCUGAGUAUACCCCUAGUGCCCAGAACCUAGUAGGGCUUUAAUAAAUAUUAGAUUCAUUUGUUGAAUGAAAAAAUGAAUGAAUAAUUGAAUAAAGAUAUCCAGGUAGAGUGUCCGGGCAGCCCAACCUAUGUGAAGCCAGUACAAGAAUGUUUCUGUGACAUAGUGAGCGCAAUUAUUCCUCUAAAUGAUGAACUUGCAUGAGUACACAAGGAUAAAAUUAAGCACGUAGUUUAGAUUUCUGCAAGUCUCUUCCUCAGAUUGAGGAAAAACAAAGAAAUUGAGCUUAUUCUCACCUCAUUCUUACAUGAACUAAAUCCAGAAUAAAGCAUCAUUUAAAUACCAAGCACAUCCCUACCUCAGCCACUCAUGGAAUACUUUAUCUGUAAAGGGACAGAUAGAUAGUAAAUAUUUUUGGCUUUGGGGACCGUACAGUCUGUGUCGCCACUACUCAGCACUUCUGUUGAGGUGUGGAAUCAGCCCUAGACAACACAUAAACAAAUGGGUGUGGCUGUGUUCCAAUAAAAUGUUAUUUAUAAAACUAGGAAAUCAGCAGAUUUAGUCCACAGGCUGUAGUUUGCUGACCCUUGAAUUAGAGAGUCUUCCCCAAAUCCUCUUCCCAAGUUAUUGAAAGAAUGCCCAUAGGACCAUAGCUCCCUCACCUGGUUCUUUCAAGAAAUGAGACAAAUUCAGGGAUGGUUGGAGGGUGGAACGCCUACCUGUGACAUGACUAUUGAGCCUGAUUUCUUUCCUUUUAUCUCUUUAAAGUGAGUCAGGUCUUAACUUUAAACUGUCUCUAAAGUGGCAAUAACUGGGCCAUGUCAAAUACUCCCAAUGACAAAAUUUCUUCUUGGAGAAUGAAUGAGGGUUGCAUACAGUGGUGUGUUGGUAAAUGUUUAGCAACUGGCUCUCUUACUGAUUUCUGUAGUGUAAAUUCUCCCAUCCUGGCCAUCUGAAACUACCAAUAUGAUGUCACUUGAUGUAGAGUUGGGAAAAGACAGUCUCUUGAAUAAGUAUGAGCUGGUUCCAGCCCACUGCUGAACACAUAUUUAAAAGCUACAAUAGCUCUGCUCACUGCCAUUGCAGAGUCUGGAGGAAAGAGUAGCAGGCUUGAUAGGAGCAAUUGGCUGAAUAAUCUUUUGCAAUGCCAAUAAAUAAUGAAAAAGUAUAUAAAUAUAACGCUGUAUAGAAAGCUCUCAAGUUCAGUGUUUGGUUAAAAUACAUACUCAGUAAAUGGUAGCUAUUAUUGUCUUAGUUUAAGUUAUUGCAAGCAUUAAAAUUAAAUGUUUAGCUACAGAC
ensembl:lncRNA MIR99AHG mir-99a-let-7c cluster host gene